rnacentral:rRNA from 1 species
GACGAACGCUGGCGGCGUGCUUAACACAUGCAAGUCGAACGGAAAGGCCCUGCUUUUGUGGGGUGCUCGAGUGGCGAACGGGUGAGUAACACGUGAGUAACCUGCCCUUGACUUUGGGAUAACUUCAGGAAACUGGGGCUAAUACCGGAUAGGAGCUCCUGCUGCAUGGUGGGGGUUGGAAAGUUUCGGCGGUUGGGGAUGGACUCGCGGCUUAUCAGCUUGUUGGUGUGGUAGUGGCUUACCAAGGCUUUGACGGGUAGCCGGCCUGAGAGGGUGACCGGCCACAUGGGGACUGGGAUACGGCCCAGACUCCAACGGGAGGCAGCAGUGGGGAAUAUUGCACAAUGGGCGGAAGCCUGAUGAAGCAACGCCGCGGGCGGGAUGACGGCCUUCGGGUGGUAAACCGCUUUCGCCUGUGACGAAGCGUGAGGGACGGUAAUGGGUAAAGAAGCACCGGCUAACUACGU